rnacentral:rRNA from 1 species
UUGACCUCGAAUCAGGUANGAAUACCCGCUGAACUUAAGCAUAUCAAUAAGCGGAG